GACGAACGCUGGCGGCGUGCUUAACACAUGCAAGUCGAACGGAAAGGCCCUGCUUUUGUGGGGUGCUCGAGUGGCGAACGGGUGAGUAACACGUGAGUAACCUGCCCUUGACUUUGGGAUAACUUCAGGAAACUGGGGCUAAUACCGGAUAUGAGCUCCUGCUGCAUGGUGGGGGUUGGAAAGUUUCGGCGGUUGGGGAUGGACUCGCGGCUUAUCAGCUUGUUGGUGGGGUAGUGGCUUACCAAGGCUUUGACGGGUAGCCGGCCUGAGAGGGUGACCGGCCACAUUGGGACUGAGAUACGGCCCAGACUCCUACGGGAGGCAGCAGUGGGGAAUAUUGCACAAUGGGCGGAAGCCUGAUGCAGCAACGCCGCGUGCGGGAUGACGGCCUUCGGGUUGUAAACCGCUUUCGCCUGUGACGAAGAGUGAGUGACGGUAAUGGGUAAAGAAGCAACGGCUAACUACGUG
rnacentral:rRNA from 1 species